GAAGCACGCCAGACCGUCGCUGGUGCCGUAUGGGAAACCUGGCACUGGAGGAACGUCCGGACUGCACAGGACAGCGUAGGAGGUAAUACCUCUCCACCGUGAGGUGAGGAUCAGAGCAACAGAGACGAGUCGGCUUUUCAUGGCAACGUGAAGGGCCGGGUGAAACGGGCAAUCUCUACGCGCAGCAACACCAAAUAGGCCAGCACAGAGCGAAAGUUCUAUCCCGUGGUUCCGCGGGAAUUGCUGGCGGGUAGGUGGCACCGAGCCGGGUAGGCGACUCCCGGCCCAGAUUAAUGGCGGUCACACUGAGAAUUCUUGUUUCGGCAAGAAGACCCAGCGCACAAAAUCCGGCUUAUCGGCGCGCUUCACAC
rnacentral:RNase_P_RNA from 1 species